GGUUACAAUACAAAUGAUAGAAGUUGGGAAAUAAACAACAAUCAUGCAUGUAUAAGGUUGGAUUUUAAUAUAUAUAUAACAAAUAAAUUAAAUUGAUGAAUGUGUUAUUUCACGAAAGAAUGUGUGUUUGAUGUUUUGAUUGUGUCGGUAUUGUUAUAUUCAAGUUUCUGCAUCAUCGAAGAUAAAGUUUAGUACAAUUCGAUAUAAUUCGAUCUUUUCAAAAUUUU
rnacentral:lncRNA from 1 species